UUUCCUCCUUAUUCAAUUGAAUGGGAUAUCAUAAAGUAAUAAUAGUCUCUACAAUCUACUUAGCAAAUUAAUAAGUAAAAAAUAAUCAAGCAACCCAUGAAAAGGAUACCAUAAUUUUGAUGUGAAUCUUUCGCUAUUUAGAAUAAUGAGAUUACUACAGUUUUUCUUUAGAUCAAUUAGAGAUUAUAUAAAUAUAUAUCAUAAAGAAUAAAUCUUAGCUUCUAUAAUAAAAUAAUCAUCAUAAAUAAAGUAGAUUUCAAUAAAAAAUAG
rnacentral:lncRNA from 1 species